UAUUUGUCAAAGUUAAUCUAAUAAAAAAAAACACAGUGACGUCAGUUCCAAAGCGCUAUUGUGUCAGACUCAUCUCCCGCUGAAGAGGAUCCAGCGACAUCAAGAGAUUACGGAAAAUCACGCGAGAUAACUGGCUUGCACCUUGUUGGGUUUUUUCAAGGGCAGAGGGGAGAUUCCUGGCGUGCAUCUACUUAAUUUGAAGAAGAACAUCACCUGAUCACCUGUCUGUAAUCCACCUGCGAAGACACUGCUGAGGUCAGACGAGAGUGCAUCCUCAAAGGUCUGUGUGUACCUAAAUGAAGAUCCAGAGAAGCUGGUGAGGGAGUACAUGGACGUUGAUGAAUGUGCAGAAAUGGCCAUA